GUGGGGAAUCUUCCGCAAUGGACGAAAGUCUGACGGAGCAACGCCGCGUGAGUGAAGAAGGUUUUCGGAUCGUAAAGCUCUUUCGUUAGGGACGAACGUGCUCUGUGUGAAUAAUGAGGAGUAAUGACGGUACCUAAAUAAGAAGCCACGGCUAACUACGUGCCAGCAGCCGCGGUAAUACGUAGGUGGCAAGCGUUGUCCGGAAUUAUUGGGCGUAAAGCGCGCGCAGGCGGGAUAUCAAGUCUGUCUUAAAAGUGCGAGGCUCAACCUCGUGAGGGGACAGAAACUGGUAUUCUUGAGUGUCGGAGAGGAAAGUGGAAUUCCAAGUGUAGCGGUGAAAUGCGUAGAGAUUUGGAAGAACACCAGUGGCGAAGGCGACUUUCUGGACGAUGUCUGACGCUGAGGCGCGAAAGCUAGGGGAGCGAACGGGAUUAGAAACCCCUGUAGUCC
rnacentral:rRNA from 1 species